GACGAACGCUGGCGGCGUGCUUAACACAUGCAAGUCGAACGAUGAAAAAGAGCUUGCUCUUCGGAUUAGUGGCGAACGGGUGAGUAACACGUGACUAACCUGCCCCUUUCUCUGGGAUAACGCUCCGAAAGGAGUGCUAAUACCGGAUACUCACAUCGAGGCACAUGCCUUGAUGUGGAAAGUUUUUCGGAAAGGGAUGGAGUCGCGGCCUAUCAGCUUGUUGGUGAGGUAACGGCUCACCAAGGCGACGACGGGUAGCCGGCCUGAGAGGGCGACCGGCCACACUGGGACUGAGACACGGCCCAGACUCCUACGGGAGGCAGCAGUGGGGAAUAUUGCACAAUGGGCGAAAGCCUGAUGCAGCGACGCCGCGUGAGGGAUGAAGGUCUUCGGAUUGUAAACCUCUUUCAGUAGGGACGAAGCGAAAGUGACGGUACCUAAAGAAGAAGCACCGGCUAACUACGUGCCAGCCGCCGCAGUAA
rnacentral:rRNA from 1 species